UACGUAGGUGGCAAGCGUUGUUCGGAAUUACUGGGCGUAAAGGGCUCGUAGGCGGCCAACUAAGUCAGACGUGAAAUCCCUCGGCUUAACCGGGGAACUGCGUCUGAUACUGGAUGGCUUGAGAUUGGGAGAGGGAUGCGGAAUUCCAGGUGUAGCGGUGAAAUGCGUAGAUAUCUGGAGGAACACCGGUGGCGAAGGCGGCAUCCUGGACCAACACUGACGCUGAGGGAGCGAAAGCCAGGGGAGCAAACGGG
rnacentral:rRNA from 1 species